CGAAUGCUGACAUAAGUAACGAUAAAGCGGGUGAAAAGCCCGCUCGCCGGAAGACCAAGGGUUCCUGUCCAACGUUAAUCGGGGCAGGGUGAGUCGACCCCUAAGGCGAGGCCGAAAGGCGUAGUCGAUGGGAAACAGGUUAAUAUUCCUGUACUUGGUGUUACUGCGAAGGGGGGACGGAGAAGGCUAUGUUGGCCGGGCGACGGUUGUCCCGGUUUAAGCGUGUAGGCUGGUUUUCCAGGCAAAUCCGGAAAACCAAGGCUGAGGCGUGAUGACGAGGCACUACGGUGCUGAAGCGACAAAUGCCCUGCUUCCAGGAAAAGCCUCUAAGCAUCAGGUAACAUCAAAUCGUACCCCAAACCGACACAGGUGGUCAGGUAGAGAAUACCAAGGCGCUUGAGAGAACUCGGGUGAAGGAACUAGGCAAAAUGGUGCCGUAACUUCGGGAGAAGGCACGCUGAUAUGUAGGUGAAGCGACUUGCUCGUGGAGCUGAAAUCAGUCGAAGAUACCAGCUGGCUGCAACUGUUUAUUAAAAACACAGCACUGUGCAAACACGAAAGUGGACGUAUACGGUGUGACGCCUGCCCGGUGCCGGAAGGUUAAUUGAUGGGGUUAGCGGUAACGCGAAGCUCUUGAUCGAAGCCCCGGUAAACGGCGGCCGUAACUAUAACGGUCCUAAGGUAGCGAAAUUCCUUGUCGGGUAAGUUCCGACCUGCACGAAUGGCGUAAUGAUGGCCAGGCUGUCUCCACCCGAGACUCAGUGAAAUUGAACUCGCUGUGAAGAUGCAGUGUACCCGCGGCAAGACGGAAAGACCCCGUGAACCUUUACUAUAGCUUGACACUGAACAUUGAGCCUUGAUGUGUAGGAUAGGUGGGAGGCUUUGAAGUGUGGACGCCAGUCUGCAUGGAGCCGACCUUGAAAUACCACCCUUUAAUGUUUGAUGUUCUAACGUUGGCCCGUAAUCCGGGUUGCGGACAGUGUCUGGUGGGUAGUUUGACUGGGGCGGUCUCCUCCUAAAGAGUAACGGAGGAGCACGAAGGUUGGCUAAUCCUGGUCGGACAUCAGGAGGUUAGUGCAAUGGCAUAAGCCAGCUUGACUGCGAGCGUGACGGCGCGAGCAGGUGCGAAAGCAGGUCAUAGUGAUCCGGUGGUUCUGAAUGGAAGGGCCAUCGCUCAACGGAUAAAAGGUACUCCGGGGAUAACAGGCUGAUACCGCCCAAGAGUUCAUAUCGACGGCGGUGUUUGGCACCUCGAUGUCGGCUCAUCACAUCCUGGGGCUGAAGUAGGUCCCAAGGGUAUGGCUGUUCGCCAUUUAAAGUGGUACGCGAGCUGGGUUUAGAACGUCGUGAGACAGUUCGGUCCCUAUCUGCCGUGGGCGCUGGAGAACUGAGGGGGGCUGCUCCUAGUACGAGAGGACCGGAGUGGACGCAUCACUGGUGUUCGGGUUGUCAUGCCAAUGGCACUGCCCGGUAGCUAAAUGCGGAAGAGAUAAGUGCUGAAAGCAUCUAAGCACGAAACUUGCCCCGAGAUGAGUUCUCCCUGAGACUUAGAGUCUCCUGAAGGAACGUUGAAGACGACGACGUUGAUAGGCCGGGUGUGUAAGCGCAGCGAUGCGUUGAGCUAACCGGUACUAAUGAACCGUGAGGCUUAACCUUACAACGCCGAAG
rnacentral:rRNA from 11 species